GGCACACCCUUGUCCGCCAUUGUAAACCGGUCGGUGAAAGAAAUUUCUGUCAAAAAAGGAAUUACCAGUAAUUUACGGAUAUAUUCCUGCAAAAAACACCCAACAUCAAGAUUAUCUUAUAUUAGCAGGUGGACUUAACAGAAGGCAACCAUGCCCAAGCCGGUGAAUGUGCGCGUCACAACUAUGGACGCGGAGCUGGAGUUUGCCAUACAGCCAAACACCACAGGCAAACAGCUCUUUGAUCAGGUUGUGAAAACAAUAGGCCUUAGAGAAAUCUGGUUUUUCGGAUUACAGUAUAUAGACACAAAAGGUUACUCCACAUGGCUCAAGCUCAACAAAAAGGUAUUAAGUCAAGAUGUAAAGAAAGAGACACCAUUGCAGUUCAAAUUCCGUGCCAAAUUCUUCCCCGAGGAUGUCUCUGAGGAACUUAUACAAGAAAUCACACAGAAAAUGUUUUACUUACAAGUAAAAGAUGGUAUUCUCAAUGAUGAGAUCUACUGCCCACCCGAGACUUCCGUUUUGUUGGCAUCAUACGCAUGCCAGGCCAAAUUUGGAGACUAUAAUACCGAAGUGCAUGUAGAAGGCUUCCUUGCCAACGAAAGAAUACUACCAGAAAGAGUGUUCACCCAGCAUAAGUUAACGAGAGACCAGUGGGAGGAGAGAAUCAAGAACUGGUAUGCUGAACACAGAGGCAUGCUGAGGGAAGAUGCAAUGAUGGAAUAUUUGAAAAUUGCGCAAGAUUUGGAGAUGUAUGGUGUAAAUUAUUUUGAAAUCAAGAACAAAAAAGGAACAGAUCUGCUAUUAGGAGUUGACGCUCUCGGUCUUAAUGUAUAUGAAAGUACAGAUAGAUUAACACCAAAAAUUGGUUUUCCAUGGAGUGAAAUCAGAAACAUAUCUUUUAACGACAAAAAGUUUGUCAUUAAACCAAUAGAUAAAAAGGCACCAGACUUUGUAUUUUAUGCACCUAGAUUACGAAUCAACAAGCGUAUAUUAGCUUUAUGUAUGGGUAACCAUGAACUUUACAUGCGUAGAAGAAAACCGGAUACGAUAGAAGUACAACAGAUGAAGGCUCAAGCCCGUGAAGACAAAAUGGCCAAACAGACAGAAAAGGCUCGUCUUGAGAUUGAGAGACAAAAACGUGAUGAUGCAGAACAGAAGAGAAAAGAGCUGGAAGAUAUGUUGGAAAAAUACAAGGAGGAAAGUGAACGCAACAGAAAAGCUCUGGAAGAGUCAAACACCCGUAUUGACAGUCUUUCGAAGGUUGUAGAUGAUUACAAUAAGGCACAGGAAGAUAUUGCAGAACAGAGACGUAAGGCUGAGGAACUGGAGAUGCAGCUUCAGGAGACAGCACACAUGCACGAGGAGGAGAAAGCCAGACUGGAGAGGGAGUACCUUGCAGCAAAGGCAGAAAUUGAACAAAGUGAGUCUAAACUGACUGAGAAGGAUGAUGAGAUGAAUCAGAUGCAAGCAGCAUUGGCAGAAGCUAAGGAGCAGGCCCAGCGUGACCAGGAGGCUCUCUUGCAGGCAAUGUCACAGAUGCACGUCAAGGAUGAGGAAAGCGAACAAGAUCAGGAACAUGGAGAUGCCAACUUACAAGAGUAUGAGAAUAUGGAAAACAUGCCUCGGCCAGAGGAAGACAGAGAAAUUGAAAUUGAAAAGAAUAAGAGGCUGCAGCAGCAACUUCUGGAGCUACAGGCUGAGCUUAAAAGUACCAAGGAUGAAGCGGCACAGACUCGCAACGAUGUUCUCCAUGCUGAGAAUGUGAAACAAGGACGUGAUAAAUAUAAGACACUGAAGCAGAUCCGUCAGGGAAAUACUAAAAAACGAGUUGACGAGUUUGAGUCCAUGUAAUCUUUGUAUCAAUGUAGACUUUAUAUUAUACCAUAUAUCAAGGCUAACGUUUCACUAGAAGGAAUGAGCUGCAGGCUGAGCUUAAAAAUACCAAGGAUGAAGCUAAACAGACUCGCAACGAUGUUCUCCAUGCU
rnacentral:misc_RNA from 1 species